UACGUAAGGGGCAAGCGUUGUCCGGAAUCACUGGGCGUAAAGCGCACGUAGGCGGUGUAGCAAGUUGGGGGUGCAAGCUCCGGGCUUAACCCGGAAACUGCCUCCAAAACUACUAUGCUUGAGGGUCAAAGGGGAAGCUGGAAUUCACGGUGUAGCGGUGAAAUGCGUAGAUAUCGUGGAGAACACCCGUGGCGAAGGCGGGGCUUCUGGUUGACUUCUGACGCUGAGGUGCGAAAGCUAGGGGAGCGAACGGGG
rnacentral:rRNA from 1 species